rnacentral:rRNA from 1 species
UGCUUAACACAUGCAAGUCGAACGGCAGCACGGUCUAGCUUGCUAGAUGGGUGGCGAGUGGCGAACGGGUGAGUAACGCGUAGGAAUAUGCCUUGAAGUGGGGGAUAACUUGGGGAAACUCAAGCUAAUACCGCAUGAGCUCUGAGGAGGAGAGCUGGGGACCGCAAGGCCUGGCGCUUUAAGAUUAGCCUGCGUCCGAUUAGCUAGUUGGUGGGGUAAAGGCUUACCAAGGCGACGAUCGGUAGCUGGUCUGAGAGGAUGACCAGCCACACUGGAACUGAGACACGGUCCAGACUCCUACGGGAGGCAGCAGUGGGGAAUAUUGGACAAUGGGGGAAACCCUGAUCCAGCGAUGCCGCGUGAGUGUUUAAGGCCUUCGGGUUGUAAAACUC